rnacentral:rRNA from 1 species
UGCAUGGUUGUCGUCAGCUCGUGUCGUGAGAUGUUCGGGUUAAGUCCCCGCAACGAGCGCAACCCCUACGGUUAGUUGCUAACGGGUAAGGCCGAGCACUUUAGCCGAACUGCCGUUGACAAACGGAGGAAGGCGGGGAUGACGUCAAAUCAUCAUGCCCUUUAUGUCCUGGGCUACACACGUGCUACAAUGGCCUGUACAAAGGGCAGCAAAGGGGCAACCCGGAGCAAAUCCCAAAAAACAGGUCUCAGUUCGGAUUGCAGGCUGCAACUCGCCCGCAUGAAGUCGGAAUCGCUAGUAAUCGCAGGUCAGCAUACUGCGGUGAAUACGUUCCCGGGCCUU